GGAUGUGAUCAUAUCAACACUAAUACAUUGAAUUUCAUCGAAACUCCACAUUUAAGCGUAACUAGACUAGAAUAGUCCUAAAAUGGAUAAUCUCUUGAGGAAUUCUUGUAUUUCAUCCC
rfam:Gossypium raimondii chromosome 6, whole genome shotgun sequence.